UCUUUCUUAAGUAGAAACAUCAUAUAUAUUAAUUUAUUGUUAAUAGAAACAAAACUAAAUUUUUAUGACUUAAAGAUAGGUGUUGAAUAGAGGCCAUCUCAUAGAACACAAAAUUAAAAGCAAUGGUGAUAUCAUAAUUUUUUGCACUAAUACGAGAGUAUCACACUAGAAUUUUUUCCGCAUUAUAAAAAGUUUGUAUUCAAGGAUAAAUAAGCAACAUCUGGAACAAAUUUUACAAAAAGCCUCCAGGACAUGUCAUAUUAAUUUUGUGAUACGAAAAAUAGUAUAUUAGUCACUAGAUCUUCUUUCCACAUUACAAAAAAUUAGAAAUGCAAUCUAAAUCGAUAUCAAUUACUAAUUUUAUAGUGAAUGGGUAAUACAUGAAAACAAGGAGUAUUUUAAUAAUUUAAGAAAUUGUUAGUCAUUUACCCUAAGUUUACUUUGUAUCCAAAAAUACUACGGAAACUUUAACUUAUUUAGUUUUUUAACCUUAAUUUAUUAUUUAUAUGGGAGCUGCUACCUUACAUGUAAUGUAAGGUACAACCUCUCACAAACUGAGUUGUAGGUCCCACUUGAGCCCACAGCCUUGUGAGAUGAUGUCAUGUACCUUACAUUACAUGUAGGAUAGUAAAAUCCCAUUUAUAUUAGUCGUUCAUAAAAAAAUAGAAUUGCCUCAUAAAAUGACAAAAUUAAAACAAACACAAAUGACAAUAUCAGUCAUUUUAUAAGGAUAAUCAAGUCUUUUCGGCACCAAAUUACAUAUUCAAUCAUUUUAAAUGUUAUAAAUUAUUUUUAGACUGAGUGACAAAUCCUGGUUAUUUUAACAAUCAUGGCCAUUUAAUCCAUCUAAACAUGAUAUUCCGAGUAGACUGAUGUUUGCGUAGGAGAAUAAUGUAAAAAAAAGUGGCACUUUUAUUAAACUGAAUAAAUUUCACAAUUUAAAUUAGAAAACAAUAAAAUUUCAUAAUUAACAUUAUGAAGUGGAACUAUAAACAAAGCGUGGAUGAUUUGCAAGUAGACUGAUGUUUUAUUUUAAAUUCCUAAUUAGUCAUGGAAAACAAAGCAUCAUUGCACUACAUUCACAAACGCAUAUGAAUGCAUUACAGUCUAACCGGACAAAUAGUCAAACAAGGAGUUGUUAAAUUCUGACAGGGCUUUUGAAUUUUUUUUUAAUUUUAUACUAAAUCAUCAGUUCGUGAGACUAAUUAAAUAAUUAAAGUGAAAAUUUUAAUAUUUUAACUGCACUGAUUUUGUCAUUUGUGCAUAUAAUAUUUUUUUAUUUCAUUAUUUUAUUCCCGGAAUUGAAUUCCAUUACCCUGCUGUAUCCUCCACGAAAGCAACAUAACAAAAUAUCAUUACAAACUAAAUCAUACAAACUGUACCUCACAAGCAGAUUUUUUUUUCCUUCUUAUAUAUUUUCUUUUCUUCUUUUGUAUUUUUUGCAUCCUCCCAACUGGAGCUUGACAAAAUUUGACAUGACCCGAUUACUCGACACAAAUACGACAUAAAUAAAUGAAUAUGAGUCGUCAAAUUUACCAUGAUUAUUAAAUGGCUUGGGUCCGGGUCAACACGAUUUUUUUUCGUAUCGAGUUAGGGUUAAAAUUCUUAACCUAUUUACCUGAUCAAUGACCCGAUUAUAUUUUUUGUGUCGGGUUAUUAGGUAAUUCGAUUAUUUUUUCAUAUCGGGUUUGAGUCUCAAUAUUUUGAUACGAUUAUUAAAUGAGUCGGAUUUAAGUCGACCUAAAUUUAACACGACCCAAUGACCCAUUUUGUCAGGUCUACUCCCAAGAGCUAUAGCCUCUAAACCGUUUAAGAAGUCUAAUAUUUAUUUAACAGCUAGCAUGAAAUAUUUGUAUUGCAUUCACCAUUAAGCCCAUUAACCAACGUCUCAUUCCUCUCCUUUUUUUUUUUUACUCCGUUUUCUCUCUGUGUUCUCAUUUUCGUUUCUUGACCUUGUAUUGGGAGGCAUCCUCAAAAACAAAACAAAACUUCUAUGCAAGAAACAAGAACACAUCGAUCCUGUGAAUGGGCCAUCCAUCCACGCUUUAUUUAUAGUUCCACUUCAUAAGGUGUGUUUAGCUUUUGAGUGCUGCUGUUUGCCCCGAAAUCGCGCCCCGAAAUCGCACCCCGAAAUUAAAAUGCACCGUUUGCUCUGAGUUAAUCACGUGUCUUGCUUUAUAAAAGAAAAAGUUGGGGAAAGAAAAAGCAAAAGUUGUUUCUUCACGUUUCUUCAGUCAAACACGUGGGCCUAACUUGCUAAAAAGUUGGGGAAAGAAAAAGCAAAAGCAACGUUUCUUUGUUAUUUCCUUCUUCUUUGUUACUCAUUUCCUUCUUCGCUAUUUACUUUGCAUUCGGGCAGAUCUGAAAGAGAGAGGAGUUCAUUGCUUUACAAAACUCUACAUUACGAAACUUGUAAGUAUUUAUUAUUUUUACAUUAAUUUAUUGAGUUGUUUCAUUUUAAUUUAUGAAUGUUAGGUUAUUUCAUUUUAAUUUAUGAAUCUUGAGAUGUUUUAUUUUAAUUUGUGAGCUCAACCAUGAGUAUUUAUAUUUAAAUUUACUUAACCGUGAGCAUUUGUAUGUAAAUUAUUGUAUUUUAUUUAUUUCAAUUUGUUGAGCCGUGAUAAGUAAUUAAUAAUGAUUAAUUUGCUGAAUCGUUAAUUAAAAAUAUCUAUUUAUAUUUU
rnacentral:lncRNA from 1 species